rnacentral:rRNA from 1 species
AGAGUUUGAUCCUGGCUCAGAACGAACGUUGGCGGCAUGGAUUAGGCAUGCAAGUCGAGGGAAUCCCAGCAAUGGGGGAACCGGCGUAAGGGGCAGUAAGGCAUGGGUACCUACCCUGAAGUUCGGGAUAGCCAUCAGAGAUGGUGGGUAAUACCGGAUGAUGUCGUGAGACCAAAGAUUUAUCGCUUUGGGAGGGGCCCAUGUGAUAUUAGCUAGUUGGUGAGGUAACGGCUUACCAAGGCAAAGAUGUCUAGCGGGUAUGAGAGUACGACCCGCGCCACUCGCACUGAGACACUGGCGAGACACCUACGGGUGGCUGCAGUCGAGGAUCUUCGGCAAUGGGCGAAAGCCUGACCGAGCGAUGCCGCGUGCGCGAUGAAGGCCUUCGGGUUGUAAAGCGCUUUAGUGGGGGAGAAAAGCCCGAAAGGGUUUGAUCUAUCCCAAAAAUAAGCUCGGGCUAAGUUCGUGCCAGCAGCCGCGGUAAGACGAACCGAGCGAACGUUGUUCGGAAUCACUGGGCUUAAAGGGCGCGUAGGCGGGCUGUCAAGUCUGGGGUGAAAUCCCACGGCUCAACCGUGGAACUGCCUUAGAUACUGACGGCCUCGAGGGAGAUAGGGGCGAGCGGAACUGUGAGUGGAGCGGUGAAAUGCGUUGAUAUUCACAGGAACUCCGGUGGCGAAGGCGGCUCGCUGGAUCUUUUCUGACGCUGAGGCGCGAAAGCUAGGGGAGCAAACGGGAUUAGAUACCCCGGUAGUCCUAGCCCUAAACGUUGGGUACUGGGUAGUAGACUAGACAUGGGU